rnacentral:rRNA from 1 species
GAUCCCGUGAACCAUCGAGUCUUUGAACGCAAGUUGCGCCCGAAGCCUUCGGGCCGAGGGCACGCCUGCCUGGGCGUCACGCAUCGCGUCGCCCCCUCCCCUGCUCCCCGGAGCGGGGGGCGGAGACUGGCCUCCCGUGCGCCCCCGUCGCGCGGCCGGCCC